rnacentral:sRNA from 1 species
UCAGUUGCUCAUUCAACUUUUUAUGUCGGUCCACAAUAUGGGUGGGAACAUACCACAUAAGCCAGGAAUGACGCCAGAGUAAGGUGCCUACCGUCCAACAUCAUGAUACUCGUCUUCGGACCUUAUCAAACACAGGGCGACACGUGGAGUGAGGCACCACCUUCAUUCUCUUUUAGAGAGAAAAGAGAUGAAAUCUU